AGAAUCAACGCUGGCGGCGUGCCUAACACAUGCAAGUCGAACGAGAAAGUGGGAGCAAUCCCACGAGUAAAGUGGCGCACGGGUGAGUAACACGUGACUAACCUACCCUUGAGUGGGGGAUAACCUAGGGAAACCUGGGCUAAUACCGCAUAAUACCUACGGGUCAAAGGAGCAAUUCGCUUUAGGAGGGGGUCGCGGCAGAUUAGUUAGUUGGCGGGGUAAUGGCCCACCAAGACGAUGAUCGGUAU
rnacentral:rRNA from 1 species